CUGACCUUUCUUGGUUUAUAGAACACAAUGAGAUCACAGUCUAUUGCUUCAGGGGAAAAAUAGCAAAAGAUUACUUUUAUGAUGGAGACUUAAUAGAUUUGACAUGGCCAGAGGGCAUACCAGUAAUGGAAGAUGUGACUCUGCAAUAGGAACAAGUUGCUGGAAGUCCAUGGAGAAGAUUUUGGAAAGAAACAUGAAUUCCUUAAUUCACACCCUAGAGAAAUCCCAAACCUCAAAGUUUGAAGACCUUAUUUGUUAAAAGCACAGAGAAACAACAAACCUCAGCAGGGAGGAAGGAACAAGUUGUGAAACUUUAACAAGAUCUCCAAGGAAGCUUAGACAAAAAGCUGAAGAAUAUGCUUUGCUGAGCUGCAUGACUCAUCUUGCAAUGUGUGGUGCCCAGAGCUGCGACACUGCUGGGUGGGAGGGCCACAGACG